rnacentral:lncRNA from 1 species
AAACACUCUCAGCCUCUUGGUUCUCCGGCCAUCGGUCGGUCACCGGCCGGUCAAUCGCCACUGUGCCGACUGCCGAUCUCCGGUGCCGGCACCGCCUUAUCCGGUGGUCGGAAAAAAGGAAAACCCCAAAUCUGGUCUUUUCAACACACUUGAGCCUAGAUCCUGGCUCAAAAUUCCCAAAAUCGACUAAAAAACCUAAAAAUGCCCUAAAAACCUUUCAGAUUCUAGCCGUCUAUCAUCGGAGAUGGUCCUCUUCCUUCCCGCGGCGUUUCAGAAACCAAAAGCAAGUGAUUUCUUUCCUUUUUAUUUUGGUUUUCUUUUCAUGCAAGUGAAAAUAAAAAAGUAAGAAAAGCGAAAAAAAUGUAAACCUUUGGACUGAUUUUUGCUCUCUUGGAUAUUGAACUAACUGUGUUUUGCUGCGAAAAUAAUUGUGUAUUCUUAUUGAUUUCGAAAUCCGAAUCCCUAUUACAGUAUGUGCAAUGGCUUUUUAUAGCCAUAUUAAAAUAAAAUAUAAAGAAAUAAAUCUCAUUUGAUCUCUUCUUGAUUUGCAAUCCUUGAUUUUUUCUAUAUACUGUUUGUUUCCAUUUUUGUGCAGGUGAAGAUUGCGGAGAUUCGGAAGACCGGCUGAGUGGCUGCGGUGCGAGGCUCCCUCAGAAACCCUAGAGUUUUUGAAAUUGCUUUGGGCAUGGGUCUAGCUUUGGGCCUCUGUUUGUUUCAGUUUGGGCCACAUAGGCCGAUUGUAAAUUGGGCCCUUUAAAGCCCAGGCAAAAUCUGUUAUUACAAUUAUCUAUAAAAAAAUCUUAAAUUCUGGUAUAACUUAAUUUCCUGCCAUAAAUGGAAUAAUGACACCUUU